AUGAGAAGAGCAAUUCAACUGCGUUUUAAGUCACGUCAAUAAUAUGAGAAAUACUAACUGACAAUA